GCCGCUGCCGCUGGCCGCUUGCUCUCUCUGCCCCCCUCCGUCUCUCCCUCUCCCUCUCUCUCUGUCCCUGCCUUUCUCUGUGUGUGCUCUUCAGAUCUUUUUAGGCGGCUGAAAUUUCUGGUUUGCUUUUUCAAUGGGAUUUAAAGAGUCCGCUGUGGAAUCGGCAAGGCGCCAAAUUAAUCCAACUGCACCGGUCAAGCCAAAUGGGCAGCUCCCUGACUGCCCUUGGAGUCGGCGGGUCCGAGGCCCUUAUUAUCACAUCAAGAGAGGGGUGGAUGGCCUAUGCCGCCAGCACCAUCUUGGGUCCCUCCGGGGCAGCAGCUACAGUAGUGAGUCCGAUUUUUGCGCGCUGUCAUCAUUGGCCAAUUGUCUUCUCCUGUCCUCCGUCCUUUAUGUCCACGUGUGGUGUGAGUGAGUGACAGUGUCACGGUUGCAUGGCCGAAAGGCCACGGAGCUUGAGAAACCCUCCCCUGUAAAACAAGUCUGUGUCUCUGCAUGUCGUCGCCGGCACAGGUGUUUAAUAAAUGUAGACUGUGUAUAAAAAUUGUCUUUGAGACAGACUACUCAGGUCUCCUGGAACUGAAUGACUGAGUCAGCUUCUUACAUUGUCUUUGGCCUGUUCGGGUUGACUCUAUUGCUGGGUAUCGGGCUUUACUCAGUGGCCCCACAGGAUUGGGGGCCAGGGAGAAGGCUGUCAUUAGUGGUUGUAGACUGAACUGUAAUAGGUUUCCUUUUCUGGUUGCGAUGUUGCUCCAUAUUCUGACCGUUGCCUGGAUCUUGUGAUAUUUAGGCUUUUCAUCAUGGACCAAUCUCAGCCCUGUGUUACUUGCUCUCCUCUUAAAUGCCUCUUGAGAAAUUUCCAAGACUUUCAGUGUUGGGCCAGGCCCUACGGCUUUUCAUUUAACACCUUUGACUUACAAAAAUUUUGUGAACGCGAGUGGCCCACAUUUGGUGUUGGACGGCCCCCCGGAGGGCAGUGUCCAAGUUACCCUUGCCAACAGGGUCCAGGCCAUAAUGUUUGGAAAUCCAGGACGUCCAGAUCAAAUCCCUUAUGUACAGAUCUGGAAUGACAUCUUAAUAGACAACCCUAAGUGGUUACAGUCUUGUGUUAAACCCCACAAAAACAAGGCUGCAAACAAAACAUCAGUUCUCUUGACUGGGCCCCCUUUAAAGGGAAAGCCCGGGCCUACAAAUAAAAGAGAAAAACCAAGCCCCAUUCUAGUUGACCAGCCAGAGGAUCCCCUACUACUGGGGCCCCCACCAUAUCCUGCUGCCCCUCCCCCGAUCCAGCUCCUAGAAGAGUCCAUGAGCCCUUCAGCGCUCCGCACACCCAGAGUGGCUCACACUAUAACCCUUCCCCAGAUCCCCCCUGGCCGGGGUCCGACUCCUCAGGGGCGCCAAUCCUUCCUCUCAGACAGGUCCCUUCCCCACUGGGACCUGACUGCCCUCCGUUCAUGGUUUAUGUCCCCUUCUCAACUAGUGACUUGCAUAACUGAAAAAACCAAAACUCCUCUUUUUCUGAGAAGCCUCAGGGACUAAUUUCUCUCCUGGAGACUGUCUCUUAUACUCACCAGCCAACUUGGGAGGACUGCCAGCAGCUCCUCCAAACCCUCUUCACUUCUGAAGAGCCUGAGCAGAUGAGGAGGGAGGCGGUCAAAACCAUCCCUGGUCUGGAUGGGCAACCCACAACUGACCCAGUCCGGGUAGAGAUUGUUUUCCCCUCUGCGCGACCAGACUGGGACCCAAAUGAGGAACGAGGUAAGGAGGCUCUCCAUCGGUAUCGCCAGACUCUGCUAGGAGGCAUAAGGGCAGCAGCUAAAAAGCCGACUAAUCUGUCCAAGGUAAGCGAAACCAUACGGGGACCUAACCAGUCCCGGGCGGUGUUCCUAGAACGCCUUUUUGAAGCUUACCGCCUGUAUACUCCUAUAGACCCAGAGGCACCCGAAAAUAGACGUGCCAUUAAUAUUGCUUUGCCACUCAGUCGGCCCCAGAUAUUAGGAGAAAGCUGCAGAGAUUAGAAGGAUUUGAGGGAAAAAUGCCGUCUGAGUUAGUAGAAAUUGCCCAGAAGAUUUAUAACAACAGAGGAGGACCCUGGGGCUGCACAGUCUAAAAGAAUGGCCAAAAUUCUAGUAUCUGCCAUGAUGGCACAAGAAAAACAUGAGGAUAAAAAGGGGAAGGGGGCCAAGGGACAGGACUGCAGUGACAGAAAAAGAGAGGGCCUAGACCGUGACCAGUGUGCCUAUUGCAAGGAACGUGGCCACUGGAAAAUUAAAUGUCCUUACCGAAGAAAAAGGGGGGGCUAAGCCUGUGCUGGUCCUCAUGGAGGACACAGACUGACGGGGCCGGGGCUCCAUCCCAAUAAGCCCCCAGGAGCCCAAGGUAACUCUCAAUGUCGGGGGCAAGCCUAUAGAGUUUCUAAUAGACGCCGGAGCCACACAGUCCGUUCUCCAACAGGCCGAGGGACCCAUCUCUGAAAAGAAAACCCUUAUCCAAGGGGCCACAGAGAAAACCAAGGCCUAUCCCUGGACUAGAACCAGAAUAACCAACCUUGGGGCAGGAACCAUCACCCACUCGUUCCUGGUAACGCCAGAAUGCCCGUACCCCUGCCUGGGAAGAGACCUACUCCAAAAAUUGCAGGCGACCAUAUCCUUUCAGGGGGACGUGGCCGAACUCUCAUUCAACUCAGGCCCAUCCACUAGUCCUUCUUACUUGCCCCUUGUCAGAGGAGUAUUUGCUGGCUACGGAGGCCCCCUCCCUAUGGGCCUCAGGUCCCUACCUAUGAGAAUUAUAGAACAGGAUUCCUAAUGUUUGGGCAGAAACAAACCCACCUGGGCUGGCCUCCCACCGGCCCCCCAUCAUUGUCCAGUUAACCAGUACAGCCACCCCGAUCCGGGUCAGACAAUACCCUAUAAACCUAAAGGCAAGAAAGGGACUUGCUGUCCACAUCAAAAGACUCCGGGAGGCAGGCAUUUUAGUUCCUUGUCAGUCGGCCUGGAAUACGCCUCUGAUCCUGGUCCAAAAGCCGGGGACCGACGACUACCGACCAGUGCAAGACCUCCGGGAAGUCAACAGAGAAUUGAGACCAUUCACCCCACUGUGCCUAGCCCCUAUACACUUCUGAGUUUGCUGCCUCCGAGUCAUCAGAUCUACACGGUGCUGGACCUGAAGGACGCCUUGUUCUCACUUCCUCUAUCCGCAAUGAUGAGCCGUCGGAGCCACUCCAUGACUGUCUUGAAGUGCUCGAGUCUCUUGCCAACCUAAGGACAGAUCUUACCGAUGAACCGUGGCCAGAUCCUGACGAGAAGCUAUCCACAGAUGGGAGCAGCUAUAUGUCUGAGGGAGUCAGCACACACCUUGGCGGCACCAGGUUGACUGAACUUCUCCACAGGGACUACUACCUUCCUCAGCUACAUCAGAUGGCCCAGCAGGUAACAACGAGAUGCCACAUCUGUGCACAAGUCAACUCAGCUUCAUUUCAGGUGCAGCCUGGAGACCUCGUCUGGGUAAAGGAACUUCAACCUGCUAGCCUGGAAGCCAAGUGGACUGGACCGCUGCCUGGGAUCCUUGCCACUCCUACUGCGGUGAAAGUCGCAGGAAAGCGCCACUGGAUUCACCACACCCACGUCAGAAAGGCUUCCCCGGACCAGCUUCCAGAGAGAUGGACCGUCCAGGCUACCGAGGGCCCACUAAAGAUAAGACUUCCCAAAGACUCCCCUGGUUCCUCCUAAUUGCUUGUGUCAAUCUCACCACAGACACCCUCCCCCCUACCGACCUAUACACUACAUCUGGGUACUAACUAAAACGGUAGACGGAACUGUUAUAGCCCAAAACUCCACCCUACCCCAGCCGGUCCUCCACUUUGACCUCUGCCAGUUGUUCAGGGAUGAGAACAAACAAUGGCAUUGGGGAGGAUACGGGGGACCGGGCUGUGGGUCUGACAGACUAAAACUAGGGUUACAAGCUUAUCAGCACUAUGCCUGUCCCACAAUUGGGCCACAGCAAUGUCAGAAAGAGGGCGAGUAUCAUUGUGCCAAGUGGGGUUGUGAAACUAUAACAUCUUGGGUUAACAAAGACCCCCAUAUUUCUCUAACUCGGGGCACACGCAGUUGCACCACUAAUAUAUUAGGAUCCCGCAACCCCAUAACAAUCAAAAUGUAUCAGUGGCACACUCAAGAAUGGGCUUCUGGGAAGACAUGGGGUUUCAGACUAUAUGCCACUUACUGUCCGAACUCAGACCCAGGAGUCCUGUUCACCAUACAGAGAUUCACUCCUGCAAGGCCCAACAACCCUAUAGGACCUAACCGAGAUCUAUAUCUUAGUUUGUCACCUGUACAACCCCCCAAGCCCAUUGGCCAACCGACCCCCUCACUGGAUACCUCUUUAGCCCACACUUCUCACACCCUUACACCCGUUCCAUGCAGGCAGCCCCUACUGAACUUGUUAAGCUCAGUCUGUAGGUUCCUAAAUCAAACUAGUCCUAACAUAACCGAGGACUGUUGGCUCUGCUUAAACCCUGAGCCCCCUUAUUACAUAGGGAUCAGGGCCACCUGCUCCACUGGCCCCACAGAGACAGAUAUUAAAAACUCAACAACAAAAGAAGCCCCAAAAUGACAUUAUUGCAAAUGGGGUCAGAAGCCUAAGCUCACUCUAAAAGAUCUCCAAAAACAGGGGACUUGCAUUUGUUCCCCUGAGUUUAUCUUAGCCAGGUCCCCUACCGUGACUCCUGUAGCUCUGUUAUAAAGAUAAAUUCCACUGAUCUGGAAGGCAAGAUGCUGUUAAUCACCCCUGAAGGUGCCUGGUUUGCCUGCACAACGGGAAUCCCCCCUUGUGUGCGGCCAUCCAUAAUAUACCAAAAAAACAAGCUCUGUGUCCUUGUACAUAUUGUUCCCCAAGUAUACUAUUAUUCUGGUGAGGGGGAAAGAGAGCAUUUACAAGCUCCAGCCCCCUCUCGUGUCAAACGAGCUAUACCUGUGUUAGUCCCUGCGCCUAUAGGUUUAGGAAUUGCGGGUUCUACAGCUGUAGGAACUUCUACACUUAUAAGCAGCAAUCAAAAUUUUAAAGCUUUAAGUCAGCAAAUAGACCUUGAUCUCAGUGACUUAAAAAGUUCUGUCAGUCGCUUAAAACAAUCAAUACACUCCCUUGCAGAAGUAGUCCUCCAAAAGCAUCGGGGCCUAGACCUCUUAUUUCUAAAACAAGGGGGUCUUUGUGUGGCCCUCAGCAAAACUUGCUGCUUCUAUGCAAACCACUCCGGUAUUAUAAAAAAUAGCCUCUCCCAGGUACAAAACAUACUAAGAAAAAGAAAGCCAGAAAACACACAAUAACUGGUAUAAAAACUUAUUUUCCUGGUCCCCGUGGAUGACAACACUUUUGUCAGCUAUAGCGGGACCAGUUAUUUCCAUUCUGCUGGCACUGCUUUUGGCCCCUGCAUUAUAAACAGCCUGACUUCCUAUGUUAAACAAAGAAUUCAGGCUGUCAAGCUUAUGGUUCUCCAGACUCACUAUCCACAUAUCUAUAAUG